CUGGCUUUGCAGACCAGGAGUCCUAAUGCAUGGAGCCAAGUAACAGGAGAGAGGACAGCACCUGUGUCCUGGCUGGAAUAGGUCCAUGGAGGUCUUGGCUUUUUGCUCACAGAAAGAGAUGGGACAGGAAACUGAGGCUGGAAGAAAUGGCCUGAAAAGGUAGGACUGAGAGAAGACUUCCUACUUGUCUUGCUGCAAGGAAAGAGAUUUCAAAAUGAAGAUGCUGAAUAAAAGGAUAAUAAAUUAAAUAGCAAAAUCAGAAAGAGAGAUUAGAUGCAUAAAAGAAUGCCAAGAUUGCCAGAAGCAUUCUGCAUUGGAAGGAAUUUCUAGGAAGGAAGCCUGUGUGAUCCCCAAUGACUGAAGUAAGCAUGGGGCUAUGGGGGGAGAAUAACAAAAACCAUGGCAUGAAGGUGCUCAGGGCAGCAUCUUCUCUGGCAGAAGACAAACUAGCUAGAGAAAAACUGGCUCAGAAGACAAGCACUUGAUGGAAAAGAAGAGGGAGAAACAAGAGAAGGAGAAACAAUGUAAAUUGAGUUUAUUGUGUUUAUAAAAAUCUCAUAUAUGA